rnacentral:misc_RNA from 1 species
GUGAGUCAUCGAAUCUUUGAACGCACAUUGCGCCCCUUGGUAUUCCGAGGGGCAUGCCUGUUCGAGCGUCAUUACAACCCUCAAGCACAGCUUGGUCUUGGGCUCCGCCGCCUCCCCGGCGGGCCUUAAAAUUAGUGGCGGUGCCGUCGCGGCCCUGAGCGUAGUAAACAUCCUCGCUACAGGACCCGGCGGACGCUGGCCAGCAACCCCAACUCUCCAUGUUUGACCUCGGAUCAGGUAGGGAUACCCGCUGAACUUAAGCAUAUCAAUAAGCGGAGGA